CUAAUGUUCGUCGCUAUUCUCAACCAAUAAUUGUCUCAACUCUUCCCCUUCGUUGCCAUCGUUACGAGUUUCUGCAAUUAAGGUUUUCAUAACCUACCCUUCAUCAUUCAAUAAUGUUCUUUACUCUUUUUUCCAUGGUUUCGUUUCACCUCCCUUUUUGCCCCCCUUUAUAAAUCCUUCUUUGCAUUUUACAUCUUACAUCCAAGAAAAAUCUACAAACUCCACAGAAGAAGAUCUAUGGUUGUGAAAUCCGUUAAAUCCACGAAACUCUUCUGUCUCCAUGGGAAGGUCUCACAUUGUCCUGUAUUAUAACAAUCAAGGGAGUUAGACAUGGAUAAGAUCAGAAAGAUUGUUGGUUUUGAAGCAUAACCCGUGUUCCGAUCAUGUCAGAGCUCCACUGAGACCACCGAUGACCAUAGCCAGAAUCAAAAGGGUAAGUGACAAUCACUUCUAGGAACUAUCUCAGAGUGUAUUGGCAACUGGUCUCAGCUUAAAAAUCUGUAAGAGAAGGCAGUAUAUAGAUCACCAUGGAACUGGAUUCAUAAUCACCACGAGUAACGCCGGACCAGGAUCCAGUGCCGCUGCCAACAGAAGUUCUUGGACAUCCCUAAGUCUCUUACUCUUAGGUGGUUUGAAGGUGAAGAACGUUGUUACUGGUGAUGUUUCGGAUUUGAAAGUGUCUGCGUUGUUCUUUGCUAUUGGUCAUGAGCCGGAACGAAGUUCUUAGAUGGGCAGCUUGAGUUUGAUGCGGAUGGGUAUGUGGUGACCAGGCCUGAUUGUUCUCGAGUGGCUACUUGGUUCCAUGAAAACCAAUUUGACCAAAAUAUGGCAAUGCAAAAACUGCAAGAGAACAAUAAUUCAAGUUCAAUACGACUAUAACUUGGUGGAGUUCAAUAUGACUAUAGAGGAAAAAUCUCGGGAGCUACUACUAAGGCAUAUUUGUUGGAGAGUCUGUGUGUUUGUCAAGUUCGUAAAGAAACUUUGUGCUGCACUUGAAAAAGUUAGGCCUGAUUUCUUUUAUGGUGGUGAUGAUAUAAUGAUCAUGCAAGCUUAUUUUGUAGAUUAUGUGAGAAACAAAUUUAGUUACAUAUCAUAUAUCAUGUAUUAGCAUGUGACAUCCAAAGACAACUAUAAUAUAGAUUUUGCACCACAG